GGUGAGUAACGAAUUGGGGGCUGGGCAUCCAAAAUCUGCAGCAUUCUCAGUGAUUGUGGUGAAUAUGAUAUCGUUCAUUAUUAGUGUGAUAGAAGCAGUGCUAGUUCUUGCUCUGCGUAGGGUUUUAAGUUACGCUUUCACAGAUGGUGAAACAGUAGCCAACGCUGUCUCAGAUCUCUGUCCCUAUUUGGCCGUUACUCUCAUUCUCAAUGGAAUUCAACCCGUCCUAUCUGGUACUCUUUACAUUCAUUUAUGAAAAUAAAAUAAUCAUAAAAAAUAAAUAUUAAUGUUUUAUAUGAUAAUAUUUUGUAAGAAAAAAUAACCCUAAGAGUGACUACUUUUUGUAGGAGUGGCUGUUGGGUGCGGAUGGCAAGCCACUGUGGCUUAUGUCAAUGUGGGCUGUUAUUAUUUGAUUGGAGUUCCUUUGGGUUGCAUCUUGGGCUUCAACUUCGGCCUUGGCGUGCAGGUAACAAUAUUUAUUGGGCUUUACAAACAAUUACUGUAUUUUUAUAUCAAUAAAGUAUAUUUUCAUACUGCAUUGUUUAUUUACUGUCAUAUUUUUGCUAAAAAUAUUUUAUACAGUUGUUUUGAUAUGUAAUAAUUAAUAUACAGGGAAUAUGGUCGGGAAUGAUCGGCGGAACAAUGUUGCAAACUCUCAUCUUAUUAUGGAUCACACUUCGCACUGAUUGGGAUAAAGAGGUAAUCAUCUUAUACGUCAUUAUAAUCAAGCAUUAUGAUUCGAUAUUCAUUUUUAACACUUACGUAUCUGUAUUGCAAAUUAUUCGUUUCUCCAUCGUAAAUGAAACUAAAUACACAUUAAUUGUUCUACCACCUUUUUUAUUAGCCUUCAUUUUGACACUUUAUGAUAAAAUUAUGAACAUAGGUGAGUACAACAAAGGAACGAUUGGAGAAGUGGGACCACAAAAAACAGGCUAAAGUUGAGAGUUGAUAUGUUUCAUCUAGGAAAAGGAAAAAAAAAAAGUUGGUACUAAAAGUUGUACUCGUAACUAUAUUUUUAGCAUAUUUAAUUAUAGAACUUGUACUUACUUUUUGUUGUUAUUGAAUUUGGAAGCGUGGCAGUGGUAGCAUGUGAUUGGAUUAUGGAAAUUUUGAUAAUUGUUUUUGUGAUGACGGUAUUUUGAUAACACUUUUUGAUAAUUUUUUUACAACAGGAUACGUGUCAUCACCUAUUUGUCUAUUUGAAUUUAUGUUUAAAAAAAUAUUUAAAACAGACCAAUUAUAAGUUGUCACGUAUGCAGGUUGUUAAAAAACACUUUUUUCCUUUUGAAUAUUGAAAUGUGAUGAAAUAUUUUUUUUAUAAAAGGAUUUUUAUGCUCAAAAUAAUAAGAGAAUAAGAUUUUUAUAUAUAGAAGAGGGUGAGUAUCUGUUUAAGUGUCAUUUUUUAAUAAAUAUGUAUAAAUAUUUAUACAAUAUUGAGGUCCUAUGUCAUUUAUGGUUUAAAUAUAAAGUAUAUCUAUUAAAAAUAAACUAUUAAAAUAAAAUUACUAAAAUUGUAAUAAUAGAUUUUUCACAUAUUUUGAUUGAGUAUGUAUUUUUUCAAAUUUCGUAUUCUUUUAACUAAGAAAGAGUCACAUCAAGUAUCUAUCUAUUAUAAAUUUAUUGAGUAUGUAUUUUUUUAAAUUUUAUAUUCUUUUAUUUAGGAAAGAGUCACAUUAAGUACAGAUACUAUCUACCUGUUAUCUAAAUCGUAACAAAAAAACUUACCUAAUAUUCGUGUAGAUAUUUGUUUAAGAGAUAUUCGCAUAUAUUUUAAGAUAUGUAGAUACACGUGAAUACAUAAAAAUAUUUUUAAAAAUAUAUUUUAUAAAUUUUUAAAAUAAAAUUAAAAAAUUAUAUAAAAUAUAAUAUAAUAUAAAUUAAAAUUUAACUUUAAUUUCAUUUAAUAUGAUAAAAUAUCAAAUAAUUUUAAUUUUAGUUAAACUUAAUUUAAUAUAAAUUUAAUUUUUAUUUUGUUUUUUCAAAUAUUAAAUAUCUAUCAGUACUAAUAAUAUCAUACUCACAUAUAAAUAAGUAUUAAAAUAUCCAUAAUCUAUAAGUACACAAAUAAUUUUAUUUUUUUUGUCAUUUGAGCUUCGAACUCGCUUCAAUUUCAUGAUCUAAUCCAUUUAAAAAAUGUAGCAUAGUUGCUUUGUUGUAGGAUUUCUUUGACUUUUCUUUCAAUUCCUUCAAGCGUUUUGUUCUUUAUUGUGUCCUCAUCUCCUUCCUUAUAAAGAAUUCUUUAAUCUAAUAAAUCAUUGUUUUGACCUUUAAUAUGUUAUCAUCUCUUUCAUCAUCAACAAUUUAAUUUAAUCAUCACCGAUGACAUUAUUCUCUCUCAGACAUACUUUGUUUUAACUCUUCACCACAUAAACACUAAUAACGUGAAUGAAGAAUAAAGCAAAGAAAAACUCCAAUAAUUAUAUCGGAAUGAAGAUUCUAAAAUUAAUUUCUUCUUCUACAUUUUCUCUAUGUAUUUGGUGAUCACUCUUAUUAUUAUAAAUAACUAAUCCUUCUUUUUGUUGGAAUUCAAUGCAAUUCGUUAAACUUUUAUUAUAUGUCAUGUUUAUUACUCAAUAAUAUCAGUGAUUUAAUUUCAUUCUAAAUGGUAACUUUUUUCAUUUAAAUUGAAGUUGAAAAAUAUUUUCUAAAACUGUUUUGAGGAAUAAUUAUAUAAAGGUUAAAAAUAGAUUUGAAGUUUUAGUUGAACAAGUUCUUAAACUUAUUACAUGAACUCUCAUUUGAUAAAUUAUGGAAUUAAAUUAAUUACUGAACUAACAUAUAUUUGGAAUUUCUAAGUGUAUCGAAGUAAUUUAGAAUCACUUUUAUAAAUAGAUAAUAUUACGCAACAUAAGAGUGAUAUAAGUGAAACCCAAUUCCAAUAACUUAUUGUAUUCUUAUAUAUUUUUUGAAAUUUUAUAAUUGUUUUACUUGGGAUUUAAUUUACAAACUUAAGAUUUAAAUAAAUAUUUUUUUAUUAUAUUUAUUAUAAAUCUACUUAAAAUUAUUUUAACUAACAUAGUAAACAUUAUAAAUAUCUACUUAAUUGUAGUGGAUCAAAUACCCCUAAGACAUUUUUUGAAUAAACAUUUCAUUUUAAAUGUUUUUUUUUAAUUUAAAAAACAUUCUUUAAUAAGCUUUGAGAAGUGUUAAAUAUGAAUCAUUAAUAUUUCUUUCAUGGACUUUUUCUAUCUUUUAUAUGGUUCUUUGCUUAAAAAAAAAAAAAAAUUACUAUUUCAAUACCAUAAUAACACCAAGUAUUCUUUUUANCCAAGGCUUUGCUACUUCGGGUCUUUUAACCGAAAUGCAUGAAUCCUUCAAAUUAGUGCCUGCUUUACAGUCCCAUUGGUUAAUGAUGCACGUAAGUAUGAUGAUAUUGGGUUAUACAACUCUUUUAUGUGGAUCAUUAAUAUCAGUGGCUAUUUUAGUCAUUACAUUUCAAGAACUCAUACAAAUUUUUGAGAAAUCACAUUUUGUAUUUAUCAAAGGAGUCUUUAAUUUUAUUUUGACUUCUUACGUUGGAGUCUCGUAUCGAUUAGAGAUAAGGUCAAUUUAUAAUAUAUAAGUGAAUUGUAACCUUACAAACUGGGAUUGAAUUAGACUAAAAAUCCUAAAAGCCUAUCAUGCUUAAACCAACUUUGACUUCAAAAACUUUGGAUAAAUUCAAAAAUGUAUUUUGGCAUAUACCUUCAUGAUUUUAAUUUGUUGUAAAUGGUUCUUUAUAUUAUUUUGAAUAUGUUCCAAAUUGUCAGUUGAAGAUUACCUUUUACGUUAUUAAUCUUUUUAAAUCUCUACUUAUAUUUUAAACAUUUUUUUUCUUUGAUCAUGUAAAGUUUAUUAUUUUUGUUUUGUUAUUAUGGAUUUUUAUUUCCUUAAAAACAUUGUAAUAACUUGACACAUUCUUUACAAAAACUCAUUAGAGACACGCAUUAAAAAAACUUAUUGUCAUAAAAAAGUUUAUCAAACACUAACUAAUGGGAUUUUUUCUUUUAUAAUUUUUAUUCGAUGGUCGAUUGAUGUGUCUCCCCAUGCAUCAUAUUUUAAAGUUGUUUUAUAUCAAAUCUUGUUACAUUUAAGAAUAAUUUGAUCGUUAUUUAUUCCAUUUUCUCUUAUUCAAGAAGUAUUUCUUAAUAACUUGUAGCACUUGGUAACCGAAGUUUGACAAAAAUAAAUAAUAAAGACAAGUUGAAGCAAUUAUAUUUUUCUCCUUUCUCAAUAAUUUGAGGUUCAGAUGUUUUUAUAUUCUCUUUUAAAUGAAUCAGGAAAGUAAUUAUAGCACCUUAUAAAUAAUUAUUAUAACACAACACUAGCCCUGUUUGUUUCCAAGGACAGAAACUAGGGAAGCAUACAUUUGAGACGAAAUUGAAAAAAAAAAAAAAAAGAUAAAAUAAACUGCUAUAUUUUUUAUUUUCUAAACUUUCCUUCCUCUUAUAUAAAAAAAACACAGGAAAAGUCAUAUAAUAAUGAUAAUAAUAAGUAUUACAAUUUAUAAUGAUAAUAUAAAUAAUAAUAUAGAUUUCAAUCAAAUCAUUCAUAAACUUUUAUAAUUUUUAUUCGAAUCAUUUCAUUGUUAUAACUUGAACCUAAUUAUCACACCUAAUUAUCACGUGAUUAGGAGUUGAUGUCAUUAAGCAUGAAUUUUGUGUCUCGGUAAAGAAUUGUGAUCAAAAUGAAAUAAUUUUAACUUAAAAAAAUAAUUUUAAUAAUUUAUUCAAAAAUUUAAAGAGAUUAUUUUUCUAUUAGCUGAUUCCCAGUCUAUCUAGAUAUAUACUUUUUUAUAUAAAAAAAAAUACAUAUUAAGUAAAAAGGAGAAUUUAGAAAAAUUUUGUAAAAAGUAUUGUUUAUUUAUUUAUAUUUAUUUGGUUGUUAGGUGUAGGUAUGUCGGGAUUUUGUUUGGAAAAUUUGCAGUGCUACUUUAUAGCCAGUUUUAUUAAACUUUUAUUUAUAAUUUAGUUUAAUAUUUUAUUGUUGAAGGGUUAGAAAGUGAAUGAAGAGAGACAUGGAAUAUGAAGAGGAAGUGCAUGAAGCGUUCGUUAUCUCAAGCCAUGACGACGAAUCAUCACACGCAGCAGAUUCACGUCUGGAAGAAGUGCUAUCAGAAACCACCACAACCUGCUCCAAGCGCCUCCUCUCAGCCGCAUGGAUCGAACUAAACCUCCUAUUUCCCCUUGCAGGACCUGCAAUCCUCGUUUAUAUCAUCAACAGCCUCAUGUCCUACAUCACUCGAGCAUUCCUCGGCCACCUCGGAAAUCUCCAACUCGCUGCAGCCAACCUUGGGAACAGUGGCAUUCAGCUCUUCGCCUUCGGCCUAAUGGUAAAUCUAUAUGGAUCACCAUUUACCAACUCUGUCAUGUGUAUAUGAUUAUUUAUUUGUUUUGUGUGUGAUAAUUGGUUUAGCUGGGUAUGGGAAGUGCUGUGGAGACUUUAUGCGGACAAGCCUACGGAGCAAAUAAGCAUGAGAUGUUGGGAGUAUACAUGCAGAGAGCAAUUAUCGUUUUAGUUGUAACUGGGAUUCCCUUAACGGUGGCGUAUAUCUUCUGCGAGCCCAUUCUUCUCUUGCUGGGUGAACCCCCUGAGCUUGCUUCGGUUGCCAAGGUUUUUGUGUACGGUUUGAUCCCACAGAUCUACGCUUACGCGGUGAACUUCCCCAUACAGAAGUUUCUGCAGGCGCAGAGUGUGGUGGCGCCAAGCACUUACAUCUCCGGGGCUACGUUGCUGCUCCAUGUCCUCCUGAGUUGGGUGGUGGUGUACUGGUUGAAGAUUGGGCUCAUAGGCUCCUCCUUGACACUCAGCUUGUCUUGGUGGAUCAUAGUAGUGGCCCAGUUUCUGUACAUAGUUCUUGCCCCCAGGUUUAAGCGGACGUGGACUGGGCUUAGCAUUGAGGCCUUAUCUGGGCUUUGGGCUUUUGUUAAGCUCUCGGCCGCCUCUGCUGUUAUGCUGUGUUUGGAAACGUGGUAUUUUCAGGUGCUCGUGCUGAUUACCGGCUUGCUUGACAAUCCUCAGCUUUCUCUUGAUUCUAUCUCUGUUUGGUAAGUAAAUCCUGCUUUAGUCACUUGCUAACUAUAUUAACACUACUAAUCAUAAUAAUCAUGUCCCACUUCUAAAUUUCAUCUUCAUAAUAUAUAUACAAUUUUAGAUAAGUAUUUUUUUCCCCUUUUAUUAUUGAAAGAAUUUUGUUUUCCAUCUCACCCUGAACACAGGGAAAACAAACAUAUACUAACAAACAGAUUUAAAAGAAGACCUACCGUUCUAAUAAGAAAAAUAAAAUAAAAGUCAUAUUUUUUAAAAUACUACAUCUUUUUUAAAAAUUCUAAAAAUAUAUUUAAGAGGUAUGUCUUAUUCAUUAUAAAAUCAUGAUUCUAACUAAAAUAUUACUUUCUGAUUUAUAUAAUAUAUUUAAAAUGUAGCAAUUUCAUUAAAAUUGAAUAAAAGUUACAGUAUAUAGGAUUGUUUUAGUAAACAGUAUGAAUGUCCCAUAAAGUAUGAAAAGUAAAAGAAAAAGAAAAUGUAUUUGGUAAGAAAUAACCUUAAGAGUGCAUGCAGCAUGUCAAUAGCAGGGUUGAUGCUGAACAUAGGAAUUGGAUUUAAUGCAGCUGCAAGGUGAGGGUUCUGUGAAUUGAUUUUGCAGCAUGUGUAUGUAUGAUAAAGAUGUGAUGAUUGUUGUAUGUAAUGUAACAGUGUGAGGGUUAGUAACGAGUUGGGAGCUGGGCAUCCGAAAUCUGCAGCAUUCUCAGUUAUUGUGGUGAAUAUGUUGUCAUUGAUGAUUGGUGUGAUAGAAGCAGUGAUGAUCCUUGCUCUGCGUAAGGUUUUGAGUUAUGCAUUCACAGAUGGCGAGACAGUGGCCAACGCUGUCUCAGACCUCUGUCCCUAUUUGGCCGUUACUCUCAUUCU
rnacentral:lncRNA from 1 species